rnacentral:SRP_RNA from 1 species
GUGAAGGCUAGGCCGGGGAAUCAGUCCUUCCCUGUAACUGUAAACGGACUUAUGACAGGGCCGAAUGCGGAGGGGCGGGGAGCGGUCUGUAGUGCGGGCCUUGGGCCGGACUGUGAGGCCUUGUCCGCCAGGACCGCUGUCUUGGGAAGCGUGUCAGGUCCGGAAGGAAGCAGCACUAACCUUGGCAGCAGGUGCUUGGCGGGAAGCAGGGCUGAGGACGGUUCAAGAAAAACCCGCCUGCCAGUCCACUCUUCAACCCUCCGAUGCCUUCAC